rnacentral:rRNA from 1 species
GAUCAUGGCUCAGGAUGAACGCUGGCGGCGUGCCUAACACAUGCAAGUCGAACGAAGCACCUUACUUGAUUCUUCGGAUGAAGGUCUGGUGACUGAGUGGCGGACGGGUGAGUAACGCGUGGGUAACCUGCCCUGUACAGGGGGAUAACAGUUGGAAACGGCUGCUAAUACCGCAUAAGCGCACGAGAGGACAUCCUCUUGUGUGAAAAACUCCGGUGGUGCAGGAUGGGCCCGCGU